AAAAAGUCAAACCCUGAUUUUCCUUGUCCAACUUUGAUUUGACUGUUCGUUUUAUAUGAAAUUUUUUUAUAAUUCGUAUUUUCAUUGUUGUUAGAUGAUAAAACAUGAUUAAUACUUUAUGCGUGACUUUUUUUAAAAAAAGAAUCAUAAUUUUUUCAAAUAAGACGGACAGUCAAAAGUUGGACACGGAAAUCAGGGUUUGUCUUUUU
rfam:Oryza glumipatula chromosome 3, whole genome shotgun sequence.